AACUCUAAAAAGAAUCCUUUUUAAGCCAUUUUGUCCGUUGGAUACUCUGGGAAACAGACGACAAGAUGAAGGUAACACCUAUGAAAGACAGGGAAAGAAAGGAGAACUAGGCAGUAAAAGCCCUUAGACCAUGAUGCUGGUCUAUCAUUUUGAAAGAAGGAAGGGGCAGGAAAAGCCUGAGUGCUGUUCAACUCUGACAACAUCUUGGCCAGUCUAAUGGACGGGGACUCUCUGUGAUGCCAUUCCAGUAGUUACCUGCUACAGGCUGGCUACCUCAUCUGUGGAGCUCCAGAGACCACGAAAGAUAACACUCAUUGCCAUAGCUACUUGUCAGCGCAUAAGAAAGUGAACACACAGCUGGUACCAAUGACCUUCCUUUUCUGUUUCCAAGUUAAUGGCUGGCACCAAAGGUCUAUUCCUCUACCCUACUGGUUUAUCACUGGGCUGAAGAAACCCAAGUAGUGAAUUACCCACUAGGACCCUGGAAGAGGAAGUACAACGGUUAUCCUCAGUUUUCCCUGGAAUCUGGAAUGAGCUUCCUAGUUUACUGAAAGUCUACUUUGUUGCCUUGAAUUUAACCCAAUCCCAUAUGUGAUAAUUAUUUUAGCAUAUUUGAUAAUAAAGAUUUUAGGAGUGUU
rnacentral:lncRNA from 10 species